AGAAGUGGAGCAAUCCAUGAGUAAAGUGGCGUACGGGUGAGUAACACGUGGAUGAUCUACCUCUUGGUGGGGAAUAACCCUGGGAAACCGGGGCUAAUACCGCAUAAGCCUGCAAAGGGAAAGCAGCAAUGCGCCGAGAGAGGAGUCCGCGGCCGAUUAGCUAGUUGGUAGGGUAAUGGCCUACCAAGGCAAUGAUCGGUAGCCGGCCUGAGAGGGCACACGGCCACACUGGCACUGAAACACGGGCCAGACUCCUACGGGAGGCAGCAGUGGGGAAUCUUGCACAAUGGAGGAAACUCUGAUGCAGCGACGCCGCGUGAGCGAUGAAGCCCUUCGGGGUGUAAAGCUCUUUCGACGGGAACGAUAAUGACGGUACCCGGAGAAGAAGCUGCGGCUAACUACGUGCCAGCAGCCGCGGUAAUACGUAGGCAGCAAGCGUUGUUCGGAAUUACUGGGCGUAAAGAGUGUGUAGGCGGUUUUCUAAGUUCGGUGUGAAAUCUCCCGGCUUAACUGGGAGGGUGCGCCGAAAACUGGAAGGCUUGAGUAUGGGAGAGGAAAGCGGAAUUCCUGGUGUAGCGGUGAAAUGCGUAGAUAUCAGGAGGAACACCUGCGGUGUAGACGGCUUUCUGGACCAUCACUGACGCUGAGACACGAAAGCGUGGGUAGCAAACAGGAUUAGAUACCCUGGUAGUCCACGCCCUAAACGAUGCAUACUUGGUGUGAGCCGU
rnacentral:rRNA from 1 species